GCAAUCAAUUUUUUAUCCACUGGUGAAGUGGCAUCUGUUACACACAGUAACCUUGUCAGUGCCAGGCAAUAUACAGAUAAUUUAUAUAUAUAUAAAUAUAAACGUUUAAUUUCAGUUCGUAUGACCACUAUUGCCCGCCAUACAAUAAGUAGGUCUCUGAAAUAUAAAAACGAGUCAAUACACCACCCACUGCAUAUAGAGACAGAGCAGAAAAUACAUUUAAAUUCUUAAAUAAGCUAAGGCCAUAAAUGCAGCCAUAAUAUUAAAGCAAAUCUACGAGAGAUGUCUCACAUAAAACACAAGCUCAUUACCUGGUAAGAAAUCACUGUUAAGUUAGCAUAAAAAAGUAAAUGUGAUUCGCUGACAAAGCCGACUAGUGACUGAGAAACUCAACCGCAUUAGUUUUUUGUUAGGUUUGUCCCGUAGACCUCGCCGUAGGUUUUGUUGCUAUGACAAUUGUACGCUGGCUCGUUGUGCAUGAAAAUGGAGGGACUUUAGCCAUCAAGACUUCGUAGUGUUCACGGAUUUUCUGAUGCUGUGGACACCAAACCAAACGCGUUAACUAACACAUUGGCUCGACAUUUCAGUUUUCCGAGGGAGCAUAUCGUUCCACCACGGAGGAGGAUAAAUGUGCCACCAACCUUAGUGAAAGUGAAAUGACGUCCGAUGACUUGAGGCGUCUUCAAGUCUCGAAACAGGAACUUCGCUAAAUAAUGUGGCCAUGUGGGCAGGUAGACUUAACCUGCACCUGUCAGAGGCCGCAGUGUGACAACAUCAACUGCUUCUGCUUCGAGGUCAGCUUCAGGUGACCUUCUGCU
ensembl:lncRNA